GGCAGAGUUGAAGGCAAGAAGGUUUGGAGAAGUCCCAGGCAGGAAGUCGGUGGGGGAGAGGCCCCUGGAGAGUUCAUUCCACUCCAGUCACAGAAGAGAGAUGGAUCUUCUUUUUGAAGACCUUGGAUCUCUUUGCCUUCUCUGAUAUGGAAAUUCACUUGACUGAGAUCACACAGCUGG
rnacentral:lncRNA from 1 species